ACUGGAUCGAACCGUGCACAGUGUGUAGUGCCGUCAUAGACUUCAUAUGGACUGGCGAUAUAAAUAUAUAGGAUCGAUUUCGUACUUCUGUUUCUGUUUCUGAAUCCGGAAGUGCAGCAGGGCUAUUUUUUAAUCUCAUAUAACCCACAAUUUAAGAAAUUUACAGUAAAAUUGUGGGGAUUUCACAAGCAACGCAAACAAAUCUUAUAUUCUUAAUUUAGAGAUUUAUUCUGUCAGCGAGUUGGCAACAUUGUACAUAACAUAUGUUGAACGGAAUAUUGUAGAGCACAGAGCUUUCCUUGUCCAUCAAGUCAAAUAUAUGCCAAAUGAUUCAAAUGACCAGGCUAGAAAUCAACGUCAAGCGACUUCUAACACGCUGCGAAUUAAUAGCGAAGGAUGAUCCACACCAAGACUGGAAGCUCGAAAAAUAUAUACUUUCUCUAGAUGACAUGAUGAACAAACUGCAGACUUCACCAAAUAAACCAUCCAAGGAUACUAUGAUGGGUUACAUUAAGCGGAUAAAUUUUCUAAAAGGAGUCAUAAACGCAAUGAAGUUGUCAAAUCCAGUGGAGAGAGUGGUUGCCGCACAAUUGUUAUCAAAAAAUUCAGUGUCCACUAACAAUUCCGCCAGUACAAAUAUUACAACGCAAAUACAUCAGAAGACUGUCGCUAAAUACAAUCGAGAAUUACGGGAGGAAUUAUUUCAUAAUAACAGAGAAGUAAAUAAAGAUGGUGUACGACAGAGAUUAUCGAGCUCUAAUAUCAAGGAUGAAGAUCUGGACGCUAUUUUGAAAUAUAAUCGUAAUAUUCAGGAGAAGAUCGCUGAAAAUAUGCUCUCCAUGACUAGCACUAUGAAGGAACAUGCAUUAGCGGCUAGUGCUAUCAUAAAAAAGGAUAUUGGCACGCUGGAAAUGUCUGACAAAUUGACUGAUGUAAAUGCUAUUAAUUUAAAGAAAGAAUCCCUAAAGUUAGAAGAGCACACGAACUCAAAAUGGAGGUGUUGGGGACAAUGCGGCUGAAAUUUCCUUAUUUAUUGCUCGAAUUUCUAAAUUUUAUGAUGUUAUACUGUUGCCAACAUGGUGUUAUUUAUGAAAGUGAGGAAAAAAAUUUAGGUAAUUUUCUGGCUUAUCUGUAUAGCGCCAUAAGUGUGCUUGUAAAAACACCUGUGCUACCUAAAAUCACUUGAAAAUCUGGUAAAUAUAUUACAAAAUAGCGAUACAUCAAUUUACAACUCCAUCCAACAUCAUUAUAAUUUAGCUUGUU